rnacentral:rRNA from 1 species
CAGCAGCCGCGGUAAUACGAGGGGGGCAAGCGUUGUUCGGAAUUAUUGGACGUAAAGGGCGCGUAGGCGGUUUGACAAGUCUGAUGUGAAAUCUCUGGGCUCAACCCAGAGUCUGCAUCGGAAACUGUCGAGCUUGAGUAUGGGAGAGGUGAGUGGAAUUUCCGGUGUAGCGAUGAAAUGCGUAGAUAUCGGAAGGAACACCUGUGGCGAAAGCGGCUCACUGGACCAUUACUGACGCUGAGGCGCGAAAGCUAGGGGAGCAAACAGGAUUAGAUACCCCGGUAGUCCCUGUCUCUUAUAC